rnacentral:rRNA from 1 species
AGGGAAACCACGGGUAAUACCAGAUGUGGUCCUUAGAUGGCAUCAUCGAGGGAUUAAAUCGAGCAAUCGGCUUUGGGAGCGGCUUAUGUCCUAUCAGCUUGUUGGUGAGGUAACGGCUCACCAAGGCUACGACGGGUAGGGGGUCUGAGAGGAUGAUCCCCCCGAGUGGGACUGCGACACGGCCCACACACCUACGGGUGGCAGCAGUUUGGAAUAUUGCACAAUGGGGGAAACCCUGAUGCAGCGACGCCGCGUGGAGGACGAAGGAUCUAGGUCUGUAAACUCCUUUUGCCAGGAAAGACUUAGGACGGUACCUGGCGAAUAAGCCCCGGCUAACUACGUGCCAGCAGCCGCGGUAAGACGUAGGGGGCGAGCGUUGUCCGGAUUUACUGGGCGUAAAGAGCGCGUAGGCGGCUAGUUAAGUGAGAAGUGAAAUCUCCAGGGCUCAACCCGGAAACUGCUUUUCAUACUGGCCAGCUGGAGGGACGCAGGGGUGACUGGAAUUCCCGGUGUAGCGGUGAAAUGCAUUGAUAUCGGGAGGAACUCCACAGCGAAGGCAGGUCACUGGGCGUUUCCUGACGCUGAGGCGCGAAAGCGUGGGUAGCAAACAGGAUUAGAUACCCUGGUAGUCCACGCCCUAAACGAUGGAUACUAGACGUAAGAGGUAUUGACCCCUCUUGUGUNGCAGGCUAACGCAUUAGUAUCCCGCCUGGGGGAGUACGGGCCGCAGGGUUGNACUCAAAUGAAAUUGACGGGGACCCGCACNAGCGGUGGAGCAUGUGGAAUUNAUUGGAUACUAACCGGAGACCUUACCCAGGUGGGACAUCGAUGGUAAGCCCGAGAGAUCGGGCCCUCUCUCACAAGGAGACCUGAAGACAGAUGUUGCAUGGACUGUCGUCAGCUCGGUGCCGUGAGGUGUACGGUUAAGUCCGCCAACGAGCGCAACCCUCGUCCUAUGUUGCCAGCGAGUAAUGUCGGGAACUCAUAGGAGACCGCCGGUGUAAGCCGGAGGAAGGUGGGGAUGAUGUCAAGUCAGCAUGGCUCUUACGCCUGGGGCUUCACACAUGCUACAAUGGGCGC